rnacentral:rRNA from 1 species
UAACGAUACGGGACUCAUCCGAGGCCCCGUAAUCGGAAUGAGUACACUUUAAAUCCUUUAACGAGGACCCAUUGGAGGGCAAGUCUGGUGCCAGCAGCCGCGGUAAUUCCAGCUCCAAUAGCGUAUAUUAAAGUUGUUGCGGUUAAAAAGCUCGUAGUUGAAUCUGUGUGCCACGCUGUCGGUUCAUCGCUCGCGAUGUUUAACUGACAUGAUUGUGGGACGUCCUACCGGUGGGCUUAGCUCCUCACGGGGCGGUCCAGCUAAUAUCCCAUCGCGGUGCUCUUAAACGAGUGUCGAGGUGGGCCGGUACGUUUACUUUGAACAAAUUAGAGUGCUCAAAGCAGGCUAUGUUCGCCUGAAUAUUUUUUGCAUGGAAUAAUGGAAUAGGACCUCGGUUCUAUUUUGUUGGUUUUCGGAACCCCGAGGUAAUGAUUAAUAGGGACAGAUGGGGGCAUUCGUAUUGCGACGUUAGAGGUGAAAUUCUUGGAUCGUCGCAAGACGGACAGAAGCGAAAGCAUUUGCCAAAAAUGUUUUCAUUAAUCAAGAACGAAAGUUAGAGGUUCGAAGGCGAUCAGAUACCGCCCUAGUUCUAACCAUAAACGAUGCCAGCUAGCGAUCCGCCGAAGUUCCUCCGAUGACUCGGCGGGCAGCUUCCGGGAAACCAAAGCUUUUGGGUUCCGGGGGAAGUAUGGUUGCAAAGCUGAAACUUAAAGGAAUUGACGGAAGGGCACCACCAGGAGUGGAGCCUGCGGCUUAAUUUGACUCAACAC